GGUCUUGUGGUCUAGUGGUAUGAUUCUCGCUUAGGGCAAACCUGAGUAAAUUGCGAGAGGCCCCGCGUUCGAAUCGCGGCAAGACCC